ensembl:lncRNA
GAUGUACUUUAGAAAGACAAGUAGGAAUUUGUUCAGAGCUAUACAGAAUUCGUUACUUCUGAUCCAAAAAAUAAAACUUUGUCUGACAACUGAAGUCAUCACCAAGCCUUAAAACUAAGGGCCGUGGUGUCUUAUGACCUUCUGCGCUCUAACAGGACAACACUUUAAUGGCCCUUUGAAAACACCAGGCACUAACCACUCAUCCGUCAAGCGUGUUUGGAAAAGAGCCAGUCCCACAUGAGCUGUUUUUCCCCAGUUUUAAAGCUUAUCCCUUCCAGCAACAAGCUCUGCUUCUUUAUUUUGACAGUUUUGAACGGAAAGAGUUCCAAAAUGUAGAAACACAUUUCCUCGCCUUGAGAAACAGAGCGUGAGUUUAUUUCAUCGUGUUUUUCUUUGAUGGUUUCUAGUCUUUAUGCGGAUGAUGUCCAGUCCUGAGUUGUCCUGGAGAGGACUUCGUCUGGCUCAGUUCUGAGCGGCCAGCGCACGGCCCUGCCCGGGACAGACGCAGUCAAGGUUUGCGGGUUGACCCUUUCCAGGGACGAUGAAGACGCAGGGGAGACGAGCUCCAGCAGCCUAGGACGGAUGACUACAAGAACUGUUGCCUCUUCUCACGACCAUCCCCCAACACUGACUGACCGCACAGUAGCCAGAACUGCCAAGCUUGGUGUUUCUCAGCAGCUGGAGCCUCAGUGGGCACAACCCUACGUGGCCAGGCCUCUGCAGGAUCGUUUCACACAGGCACAGGACGCCAGCAAGCCAGGGGCACAAACAAGUAGGAGAGAAGACAGACUAGAAGCUUGGAACCGUCAGCUCUAGAAAGAUGCUGUUUACAGCAAGUAUUAGGUCUGUGGUCUGGAUCACCGACGGGAGCCUAACCCAGAAUCCUGGUCUAGGAGGGGGGUGCAGGGAAGAGAGAGAUGGGGCCCUUCUCUGCCAAACCCUGCCCACAGCAGCCAGGCCUGUCUCCUAGGACCCACUCUCGCCUGCAGGAGGUGGGCUGUGAACACGGAGAAGCUGCCAGGCGUCCCGUGACAGACAUACACAGUGCGAGCCGCAGACCCAAAGGAAGGAAGGAGGGAGCUGGUCCGAAUAGAGACCAAAAAUAUUGACGCUCAAGUGCGCACACCGAAAGAUAAAGAAGAGGGGGUUGCCAGGCAGGCUGGAUGGACAGACAACCACGAAACGGUCUCGUAUGGGGUGGGGGUUGGAGUACAACUGGAGCAGGAUGGGCGAGGGCCCACUGGAAGGUGGCUGCAGCGACAGGCAGGAGCCCGGCCACGGAGGGCUUGGACCACGCCCGCCUGCUCCAAUGUUACACAGAGGGAUGCCCAGAGGCUGGGCAGAGGGACUGGUCAGCUAUGUGUAAAGAAGCUUAAGGGACUCCUGGAGGCCCAGUGGUUAAGACUCUGCCUUCCAACUCGGGGGAUGUGGGUUCAAUCCCUGGUCAGGGAACUGAGAUCCCACAUGUCUUAGGGCAACUAAGCCUGAGUACUGCAACUACCGAGCCCACGCACCCUGGAGCCUGUGUGCCGCCUCUAGAGAGUCCGUGUGCUGCAACGAAAGGUUCCACGUGAGGCAAGGAAGAUACCACAAGCUGCAGCCAGGACCGUACUCAGCCAAACAGACAAAGAAACCCAAAAAGAAGCUUGGACCUCACAGACUUACAGAAGGAGCUCACGGUUGCCAGGUGGAAGGGUUGGGGGAAGGGAUAGUUAGGGAGUUUGGGAUGGACGUAUGCCCACUGCUGUAUUCAAAGUGGAUAACCAACAAAGGCCCACUGUAUAGUCAGGGAACGCCGCUCAAUGUUAUGUGGCAGCCUGGAUUGAAGGGGAGUUUGGGGCAGAAUGGGUACAUGUGUAUGUAAGACUGAGUCCCUCUGCUGUCCACCCAAAACUGUCACAACAUUGUUAACUGGCUAUACUACAACAUAAAAUAAAAAGUAUAAAAAAUAAAAAUAAAAAGAAGCU